GGGAGUGAAAUAGAACCUGAAACCCUGCACUUACAAGCUGUGGAAGCACAUUUCUUGUGUGACCGCGUACUUUUUGUAGAACGGGCCAACGAGUUACGUUAAGUAGCAAGGUUAAGCACUUAAGGUGCGGAGCCGUAGCGAAAGCGAGUUUUAACUGAGCGUUCAGUUACUUGACGUAGACCCGAAACCGGGCGACCUACCCAUGAGCAGG
rnacentral:rRNA from 1 species